AUUGAACGCUGGCGGCAGGCCUAACACAUGCAAGUCGAGCGGAUGAAGGGAGCUUGCUCCUGGAUUCAGCGGCGGACGGGUGAGUAAUGCCUAGGAAUCUGCCUGGUAGUGGGGGAUAACGUCCUGAUACGGGCGCUAAUACCGCAUACGUCCUGAGGGAGAAAGUGGGGGAUCUUCGGACUUCACGCUAUCAGAUGAGCCUAGGUCGGAUUAGCUAGUUGGUGGGGUAAAGGCCUACCAAGGCGACGAUCCGUAACUGGUCUGAGAGGAUGAUCAGUCACCCUGGAACUGAGGCACGGCCCAGACUCCUACGGGAGGAAGCAGUGGGGAAUAUUGGACGAUGGGCGAGAGCCUGAUCCAGCCAAGCCGCGUGUGUGAAGAAGGUCUUCGGAUUGUAGAGCACUUUAGGUUGGGAGAAAGGGCAGUAAGUUAAUACCUUGCUGUUUUGACGUUACCAACAGAAUAAGCACCGGCUAACUUCGUG
rnacentral:rRNA from 1 species